rnacentral:rRNA from 1 species
CUCGAGUGGCGAACGGGUGAGUAACACGUGAGUAACCUGCCCUUGACUUUGGGAUAACUUCAGGAAACUGGGGCUAAUACCGGAUAGGAGCUCCUGCUGCAUGGUGGGGGUUGGAAAGUUUCGGCGGUUGGGGAUGGACUCGCGGCUUAUCAGCUUGUUGGUGGGGUAGUGGCUUACCAAGGCUUUGACGGGUAGCCGGCCUGAGAGGGUGACCGGCCACAUUGGGACUGAGAUACGGCCCAGACUCCUACGGGAGGCAGCAGUGGGGAAUAUUGCACAAUGGGCGGAAGCCUGAUGCAGCAACGCCGCGUGCGGGAUGACGGCCUUCGGGUUGUAAACCGCUUUCGCCUGUGACGAAGCGUGAGUGACGGUAAUGGGUAAAGAAGCACCGGCUAACUACGUGCCAGCAGCCGCGGUGAUACGUAGGGUGCGAGCGUUGUCCGGAUUUAUUGGGCGUAAAGGGCUCGUAGGUGGUUGAUCGCGUCGGAAGUGUAAUCUUGGGGCUUAACCCUGAGCGUGCUUUCGAUACGGGGUGACUUGAGGAAGGUAGGGGAGAAUGGAAUUCCUGGUGGAGCGGUGGAAUGCGCAGAUAUCAGGAGGAACACCAGUGGCGAAGGCGGUUCUCUGGGCC